ACAGCUUUGGUCCGUAUUCACUGCAACAGCAACAAUACCUUAGGAACAGUAGAAAUGCGUUGCCAAGGUAUGUUAGGCCACAAACGUCAUCCGUACUUAUCGGACGACAUCGAACCGGGCUGAUGAGUCGUCGGCCCAUAACGCCACCUUUGGAAACGCCAUGGCUGCUGUUGCCUGCUGGUAUCCAGAAUGACAGGCAUCCAUGGUUUACCAGCAUGCCUAGAUGCCCUAACAGAUGCUGCGAACUGAGUGCCUAGAUGCCCACCAGCAUAGGUGCCUGCCUGGCUAGGUGCCUGCCUACCCG
rnacentral:lncRNA from 1 species